rnacentral:ncRNA from 2 species
GUAUAGGAGGAAAAGGCUGCCCCGAUUGAGAUCGGGGUCCCCGGGAAUGCCGUGAAAAUCGGCAACUGUGCCGCAGCGGUAAUCUCCCAUAAAAAUGGGAGAAAGUCCGAAGACCGAUUAACCUCUUAAAUAUUAA